rnacentral:rRNA from 1 species
UAAGGAUACGUUCGUUGGGUAGGGGAGCGUUCUGUAAGCCUGCGAAGGUGGCCUGUGAGGGUUGCUGGAGGUAUCAGAAGUGCGAAUGCUGACAUAAGUAACGAUAAAGCGGGUGAAAAGCCCGCUCGCCGGAAGACCAAGGGUUCCUGUCCAACGUUAAUCGGGGCAGGGUGAGUCGACCCCUAAGGCGAGGCCGAAAGGCGUAGUCGAUGGGAAACGGGUUAAUAUUCCCGUACUUGGUGUUACUGCGAAGGGGGGACGGAGAAGGCUAUGUUGGCCGGGCGACGGUUGUCCCGGUUUAAGCGUGUAGGUGUGUGUUCCAGGUAAAUCCGGUUCACUUUAACACUGAGGCGUGACGACGAGGCACUACGGUGCUGAAGCAACAAAUGCCCUGCUUCCAGGAAAAGCCUCUAAGCAUCAGGUAACAUCAAAUCGUACCCCAAACCGACACAGGUGGUCAGGUAGAGAAUACCAAGGCGCUUGAGAGAACUCGGGUGAAGGAACUAGGCAAAAUGGUGCCGUAACUUCGGGAGAAGGCACGCUGACACGUAGGUGAAGUGAUUUACUCAUGGAGCUGAAGUCAGUCGAAGAUACCAGCUGGCUGCAACUGUUUAUUAAAAACACAGCACUGUGCAAACACGAAAGUGGACGUAUACGGUGUGACGCCUGCCCGGUGCCGGAAGGUUAAUUGAUGGGGUCAGCGCAAGCGAAGCUCCUGAUCGAAGCCCCGGUAAACGGCGGCCGUAACUAUAACGGUCCUAAGGUAGCGAAAUUCCUUGUCGGGUAAGUUCCGACCUGCACGAAUGGCGUAAUGAUGGCCAGGCUGUCUCCACCCGAGACUCAGUGAAAUUGAACUCGCUGUGAAGAUGCAGUGUACCCGCGGCAAGACGGAAAGACCCCGUGAACCUUUACUAUAGCUUGACACUGAACAUUGAGCCUUGAUGUGUAGGAUAGGUGGGAGGCUUUGAAGUGUGGACGCCAGUCUGCAUGGAGCCGACCUUGAAAUACCACCCUUUAAUGUUUGAUGUUCUAACGUGGACCCGUAAUCCGGGUUGCGGACAGUGUCUGGUGGGUAGUUUGACUGGGGCGGUCUCCUCCUAAAGAGUAACGGAGGAGCACGAAGGUUGGCUAAUCCUGGUCGGACAUCAGGAGGUUAGUGCAAUGGCAUAAGCCAGCUUGACUGCGAGCGUGACGGCGCGAGCAGGUGCGAAAGCAGGUCAUAGUGAUCCGGUGGUUCUGAAUGGAAGGGCCAUCGCUCAACGGAUAAAAGGUACUCCGGGGAUAACAGGCUGAUACCGCCCAAGAGUUCAUAUCGACGGCGGUGUUUGGCACCUCGAUGUCGGCUCAUCACAUCCUGGGGCUGAAGUAGGUCCCAAGGGUAUGGCUGUUCGCCAUUUAAAGUGGUACGCGAGCUGGGUUUAGAACGUCGUGAGACAGUUCGGUCCCUAUCUGCCGUGGGCGCUGGAGAACUGAGGGGGGCUGCUCCUAGUACGAGAGGACCGGAGUGGACGCAUCACUGGUGUUCGGGUUGUCAUGCCAAUGGCACUGCCCGGUAGCUAAAUGCGGAAGAGAUAAGUGCUGAAAGCAUCUAAGCACGAAACUUGCCCCGAGAUGAGUUCUCCCUGAGACUUAGAGUCUCCUGAAGGAACGUUGAAGACGACGACGUUGAUAGGCCGGGUGUGUAAGCGCAGCGAUGCGUUGAGCUAACCGGUACUAAUGAACCGUGAGGCUUAACCUUACA